AUCCCCGUUUACAGAGGGCACCAGACACCCAGCGAAGUUGAGGAGCUUGCCCACAGUAGGGGGAGGAGGGGCUGGACCCAGGAAAGUGCUCCAGUGGAUCCAUAGUCUGUGAGGGUUCAGAACAGCAAUGCCGCGCCCCCCAGGAGUGGAAGCACCCUCGCCUUAGCGGCUGGAAGGCUGGCGCUGUCUGUGCAGGUGGGGACUGGUGGUGACCUUGCCUUUCGUGCUGCGAACGUGAUGGCCGCAGUGCUUUUAUUUUUCUAACUCUCUGUGAUAACCUUGGGCUGGCCGCUUUGUACUGGAAGCUCGAGGCUAAAUAAAUAAGCUCAUAUCCUUGACUCCCUGUUGUCACCACGUUGGGCAUUGAACUUGAUGGGGUCCCUUGAUGGAAACCAAGUGUGAACCCUGGGAUGAGCCUUCACAGCCCAGGAAGGACAACCAAGGGUAUGAAGAGUCGGUGGCUCUGAGCCCCAGGACGGAGUUGGUGUGAACACGCCGGGCCGUGAGGAGAAGUCUGUGGAGGGGAGGCUGGAGGGACAAGCUGAG